UACGGGGGGAGCAAGCGUUGUUCGGAUUUACUGGGCGUAAAGGGCGCGUAGGCGGUAGCACAAGUCAGUUGUGAAAUCUCCGGGCUUAACUCGGAAAGGUCAACUGAUACUGUGCGACUAGAGUGCAGAAGGGGCAACUGGAAUUCUCGGUGUAGCGGUGAAAUGCGUAGAUAUCGAGAGGAACACCUGCGGCGAAGGCGGCUUCCUGGCCUGUUCUUGACGCUGAGGCGCGAAAGCUAGGGGAGCAAACGGG
rnacentral:rRNA from 1 species